GUAAACGAUGUCUACUUGGAGGUUGUGCCCUUGAGGCGUGGCUUCCGGAGCUAACGCGUUAAGUAGACCGCCUGGGGAGUACGGCCGCAAGGUUAAAACUCAAAUGAAUUGACGGGGGCCCGCACAAGCGGUGGAGCAUGUGGUUUAAUUCGAUGCAACGCGAAGAACCUUACCUGGUCUUGACAUCCACAGAAGAAUCCAGAGAUGGAUUUGUGCCUUCGGGAACUGUGAGACAGGUGCUGCAUGGCUGUCGUCAGCUCGUGUUGUGAAAUGUUGGGUUAAGUCCCGCAACGAGCGCAACCCUUAUCCUUUGUUGCCAGCGAUUAGGUCGGGAACUCAAAGGAGACUGCCAGUGAUAAACUGGAGGAAGGUGGGGAUGACGUCAAGUCAUCAUGGCCCUUACGACCAGGGCUACACACGUGCUACAAUGGCGCAUACAAAGAGAAGCGACCUCGCGAGAGCAAGCGGACCUCAUAAAGUGCGUCGUAGUCCGGAUUGGAGUCUGCAACUCGACUCCAUGAAGUCGGAAUCGCUAGUAAUCGUGGAUCAGAAUGCCACGGUGAAUACGUUCCCGGGCCUUGUACACACCGCCCGUCACACCAUGGGAG
rnacentral:rRNA from 1 species